rnacentral:rRNA from 1 species
CCUACGGGCGGCAGCAGUGGGGGAUAUUGCACAAUGGGGGGAACCCUGAUGCCGAGACGCCGCGUGGGUGAAGAAGCGCCUCGGCGCGUAAAGCCCUGUCAGCAGGGAAGAAAAUGACGGUACCUGAAGAAGACGCCCCGGCUAACUACGUGCCAGCAGCCGCGGGAAUACGUAGGGGGCAAGCGUUAUCCGGAUUUACUGGGUGUAAAGGGGGCGCAGACGGCGAUGCAAGCCAGGAGUGAAAGCCCGGGGCCCAACCCCGGGACUGCUCUUGGAACUGCGUGGCUGGAGUGCAGGAGGGGCAGGCGGAAUUCCUGGUGUAGCGGUGACAUGCGUAGAUAUCAGGAGGAACACCGGUGGCGAAGGCGGCCUGCUGGACUGCAACUGACGUUGAGGCCCGAAAGCGUGGGGAGCAAACAGGAUUAGAUACCCUAGUAGUC